AUCUGCAAUUUGGACAGGUACAGUGGAGUGGCAGGGGGAACAUUCCCAUUUAGUGUCUGGAAGUUUGAGGCUGGCUUUCAGCUGAGAUCGUAGCUGGUGCUGUCAGCUGGAACACCUACUCUACACAUGGCUUCUUCUUGUGGCCUGGACUUCCUAACAACAUGGCAGCUUGGGUUCCAAGGGUGAACGUCCCAAGAAGAGUGUAAGGAGUAGCUGUACCACCUUUUCAGACCUAGCCUCAGAAAUCAUGCAGCAUCCCUUCGGCCACAUUCUACUAGUUAGAAGUGAGUCACCAGCCACACUCGGGGGCUCACACCUGUAAUCCCAACACUUUGGGAGGCCGAGGCGGGCAGAUCACCUGAGGUCAGGAGUUUGAGACCAGCCUGGCCGAUAUGGUGAAACUCCGCCCCUACUAAAAAUACAAAAAAUUAGCCGGGCAUGUUGGCACGUGCCUGUAGUCCCAGCUACUCAGCAGGCUGAGACAGGAGAAUCGCUUGAACCUUGGAGGCGGAGGUUUCAGUGAGCCAAGAUCACGCCACUGCACUCCAGUCUGGGCAACAAGAGCAAAACUCCAUAUGAAAAAAAAAAAAAGGCAGUGAGUCACCAAUGGCCAGCCAGCAUCCAUGGGGAGAAUUAGAUUCCACCUUCUGAUGGGUGGAGUGACAAAGAAACUGAGAACCUGUUUUAAAGCCACGUUUGGUACUACUAUAAAACUCUCCCACUGGAGUUCUUUCCUGAAGCCACAAUUCUAACCCAAGAGAUGUGCAUUCUUCUCCUCUGCCCAUGCCCAUCUGUAAGCUUCCUGGACAGAUUCAACAGAGGGCUCCAUAGAUGGGCCUUUCUUGGAAUUAACCGUGGUUCUUGAAUCCAAAGCCACAAAACAGGAUGGAUCCUACCUUAGGGAUACAAGCUUCUCCCUUUCUUGUCCCAGGCUAAGCCCACCACCCCAGGAAUCCCCCGUGGUUUUAGUUCCUACUGCUCCAGGAACUUCCAAUCCUAUCAAGUUGGGUUCAUGGGCCCCACUGCUAGAGCAGCCAUGACUGAGCCUGAAGCACAAGCUCCUGGUCCCCACUUGCUGAGCCGCCCCUGCACCCAGGCAGAUCUUCCUAAGGCCCCAAGCCUCACUGCUCCCAUGGUCCAAGGAGACUCUGAAGCCAGAAGAGCCAUCUCCUGUAAGCUCUUCUCUCUUCCCCACUAGAUGACCUGGAAGGCUGGUUGAGCCACGUCUGACCCUCUUAGACCAGCUCUACAAUAUGCGGUCCCUCCCUCUAGAGCCUUCCUACUCUAGCCAGUGAUUCCCCCGCAAGAACCUCUGGAUCCUGCACACUUUAUGUCUCUUCAUUUUUUUAAGGGUGAAAACCAAUGCAGGUGAGAAAUAAAAUCCUAACCCUCCCAACCAACUGAAUGGACCCCCCUUUUGGCCAAGGAGACCACAAAGAAACUUACAAACUGAGCUCUUGGCCAUGACAGGGUGGGAGAGGAGGUCAGACAGGCCUUGCUGUGCCCCCUCCCUCACUAAACACCAUUAGACUUUCUUUCCCAGAGUUCAGCUGAAACCAGCCCUUUCAAAAGAUUUGCUCCACUGCUGAUUUCCACCAACCACCUGAUGCUGUGGCUGGACUCCUCGCCAUUUUUGUGGUUUUGGCACAGCAACUGACCAGCAUUCCUUCCUGAUAAGAGACCACUGACCACAGACUGAUUCUGGCCAGUCCAUGGAGGCUGCACACAGGGACACUUCUGUGUCCUCCGUUUUCCCUUUUGACUUAUGGAGCCUAAAUUCACUGCAUUUAAAUGUUAAGUCUCCAACCCAAAGUGAACAUGGGACAUAUGUAACAUGCAUGUUUGCUUACUAUGCAUGCACACCCCUUCAUGAAUAUUCACAGUUCUUCCUAUAACCUGUUGAAUAUGUAUACUUAGCCAACCUGUUCAGUGUAAAUUCCUGUCUUAGCCUUCCUCCUUCCAAGUGCUUGCUUUUGUUUUUUGCUGGAGGCUAUGCUUCCCAGCCUGCAGGUGGCGAGCCUGCAGCUGCAACCUUUUAUAAGAAAUUAAGCUCUCCUUUCCCGAUGUAUAGAUCUCAUGACUUUAAGUCAACACAGGUCAUGGGCACACAGGUGUAAGCUUUAGCAUUAAGCAAUCACAUGGCUCAUAGAGUUCAGCCACCAGAACCCAGGGGUUGCCAUUCAUAGGUUAGGUAGGCUGAGGCAGAGGCAGGCUGCUCUUUCAUGUCAGAAGUGAGGGAAUAGCACCCUAAGUAGAAGAGACAGUAUUGCAGGUGUUAAGGCAGGAAAGAACAUUCCAGAAACUGAAAGGCUCAUUAUGGUUCCAUUGACAGUAAUGAGAUCAGAAGGAGUCAAGAGACACCAUGAUAAAGAUUUUAUCCUGAAUGCAUCAGGAGGCCCCCGAGGGGUUUUAAGCAGAUGAGGGAUAUGGCACCAUUUAUGUUUUUAAAAGAAUAUUCUAGCUACGGUGUGAACAUGGACCGGAGCCACUAGGAGGGAACGUGUGCAGAUGCCCAGGGAAAACCCCUUGACCAAUCACUCAACGAGCCUUCUGACUUAGGCUUGGUGCCAGGGGACAAAAUGAUUCCUCUGAUCGUUUGGGGGAAUCAAAAUGGUCCCCAAAGGGGACCACCAAGGGACACCAAAAUGAUUCCAGCUUAUCUCCUCUGUCUUCCAAGAAUGCUUGGUCUGGAGAAGCAAAAACUAAACAGAGUAGUCAUGCUAUAAUAGGGGCAAUGGUGGCAGAAGGACCAGGAGGGGAUCACAGGAUGCUCCCCUGAGGUAGAAAGGUUUCCUUGACCAGGAUCUUCAAGGGUGAAUAGGAACUCUACAGGCAAAUAUGGAGGGAAAGGUACUCCAGGCAGAGGGACAGUGUGGAGAAAAGCACAGAGGCAUGGAGCAAUGCGCUACACUUAGGAAACCUGAUAAGGUUCUGCAUGGUGGGAGCACAGGAUUGGGUGGGACUCGGGAAAAGGCAGUGGGGAGGAGGGCAGGGGCUAAGGCCCAGUACAGGUCCAGAAAGACCUUGUGCAUCAUCUUACAGGAACAGUACUUUCCCUCAGUGAAUGGGUAGCCAUGGAAAAUGAUUGAGCAGGAAGAUUUUGCUUUUUAAAUGAUACUCAAGGGGAGGACCUAGAAGGGAGAAGCGCUGAGGGUCCAAUAGAAGAGAGAAGCAUACGCUGUCAAUCUCUAACGCAGGUGACCUGGGAUCCGCUGCCAGUACAAUCCCAUCCUGAGCAGCUGCCCCCAGUCCCUGGCUUCUCACAAAGGCCCACACACCUGCUGAGCACGCUCAGCUUGAAACAGCCCUCUCAGUCCCAAGAACCAGAAACCAGAGAAACCCCAGAAGAGGGAGGGUCAUGGGAAACCAAAAAGAAACUGUGGUGCAAUCCAACCUUAGAAGAAAUCAGAGAAUCCUGUGUCACUUCCACUCCAUAACCCCUUCCCAGGGGAGCUCUACUGUUGGCAGAGCCCCUCCAGGCACCUGCCCCGGGAC
rnacentral:lncRNA from 1 species